rnacentral:rRNA from 1 species
UCGGAAUGACGGGGAAAGGUAGUGAAUCCACCUAUUGGAUGGUGGUCCAAGCACGUAGGGGGUCGAUUAGGUAAAUCCGGUCGGCGUAACUCCGAGAUGCGAAUGCGAGCGCAAGCGAAGUUCAUGAUCCUCAGCUUCCCAGAAAAGUUUCGCUAGGAGAUUUUUAUUAACCCGUACCAUAAACCGACACAGGUAGAUGAGGAGAGAAUCCUCAGGCGCUUGGGAGAACUCUUGUUAAGGAACUCUGCAAAUUGGUGCCGUAACUUCGGGAGAAGGCACGCCUUUGAUGGUAAUAUCACUUGCUGGUAAAGCUAUUGGAGGUCGCAGUGAAAAGGGGGUAGCGACUGUUUAUCAAAAACACAGGUCUAUGCAAACACGUAAGUGGAAGUAUAUGGGCUGACGCCUGCCCGGUGCUGGAAGGUUAAAAGGAGAGGUUAUCGCAAGAGAAGCUUUGAAUUGAAGCCCCAGUAAACGGCGGCCGUAACAAUAACGGUCCUAAGGUAGCGAAAUUCCUAGUCGGGUAAGUUCCGACCUGCACGAAUGGCGUAACGACUUCCCCACUGUCUCAACAGGAGACCCAGCGAAAUCGGUGAGCGCGUGAAGAAACGCGCUACCCGCGGAAGGACGAAAAGACCCCGUGAACCUUUACUGUAGCUUGGCAUUGGGUUUCGAUUAACAUUGCGUAGGAUAGGUGGGAGUUUUUGAUCCGUGCAUUCCGGUGUACGGGGAGACAACCUUGAAAUACCACCCUAUGUUAAUUGGAAUCCUAACCUACGAUCGUAAUCCGGUCGGGGGACAAUGUCUGGUGGGCAGUUUGACUGGGGCGGUCGCCUCCUAAAGAGUAACGGAGGCGCACGAAGGUUCCCUCAGGCCGAAUGGAAACCGGCCAUAGAGUGUAACGCAUAAGGGAGCUUGACUGUGAGGCAAACGAGCCGAGCAGGUGCGAAAGCAGGUGUUAGUGAUCCGGUGGUUCCGAGUGGAAGGGCCAUCGCUCAACGGAUAAAAGGUACUCCGGGGAUAACAGGCUGAUCUCCCCCAAGAGUUCACAUCGACGGGGAGGUUUGGCACCUCGGUGUCGGCUCAUCGCAUCCUGGGGCUGGAGCAGGUCCCAAGGGUUUGACUGUUCGUCAAUUAAAGCGGUACGCGAGCUGGGUUCAGAACGUCGUGAGACAGUUCGGUCUCUAUCCUCCGUGGGCGUAAGAAAUUUGAGUAAAUCUGUCCUUAGUACGAGAGGACCGGGAUGGACGAACCUAUGGUGAACCGGUUAUGACGCCAGUCGUAUCGCCGGGUAGCUAAGUUCGGAAGGGAUAACCGCUGAAAGCAUCUAAGUGGGAAGCCUAUUACAAGAUAAGAUUUCUAUUAAGACAACUUCUAGACUAGGAGUUUGAUAGGUUGGGGGUGUAAGAGUAGUAAUACUUUGAGCUGACCAAUACUAA